rnacentral:lncRNA from 1 species
AAAAAAAAAAAAAAGUAAAAUGAUGGGGGCUGUUGGGGAUGGGGGAAGGAGAGUGAGGAAAAUAGAUCGAGCAGCCAUGGGAACUAACCUCAAUUUAAAAAUAAGGGGGAGGGGGCACUGCAGUGGUGCUGGUGGGGCGCUCUAUUGUUGAUGGCCAUGGCAGCGUUGGUGCUGCUGGGUUAAUGGUGGUGGUGCUUCAAUGACCAUGGCAGCCGGUGGGGGUAGGAGGCAUUAAAAAUUGUCCCACACUCACACUUUAGACGUGUCCCGCACGUAUUUUAUCCUACUCAAUUAUUUUAAUGCCAUCUAAGUACGAUUAACGGUUAAAGAAUUUACAUAUGAGUUUUAUUGAGUUGAGAGUUCAGAUGACAAAUAUAUAAAUCAAGUUAUUUUGUCAAACGUAAGAGAAGAAAUGUAUGAUGAAGAACAAAGAGGGCCAUGCAUUUAUCGAUCAGAGACGGAUUUAAGAUUUAGAUUUCACUAGUCAAACAUUUAAAGAUUUUUAACAGUUCUGAUCUUAUUGUGCUUUUUAUAUAUGAGUUCCAAUUCUAAUAGUCAUUGAAACUUGAAACUUCAUUAUUUUUCACAUAUACGUUAGUUAGUGUAUGAAAAUACUGAAUUUCAUUAUUUUUCACAUAUACGUCAGUGAGAAAAUAUUGAAUUUAAUUGAAUCAAUAAGUUCGGUUGGAUCACCUAUGGCAUUGAUGAUCUUAACUAGGGAAGAUAUUUUUAAGAGGAAGAUAGGAAUUCUGUGAUGGAGAUGAGAAGCAACAUAAAAUUAAAUCAAUAGUUAUUAAAGCACAAAAAAGGAUACAGUAAUUAAUUCAUUUAUUCACAGAAUAUAUUUAAUUUUUGUGGGCACAAAAUUAAAAGAAGGCUAGUAAUUUGCAGUUGUAUUUAUGCUAAGUUGCUACUGUCAGAAACUUUUGUGGCUUAAAACAAAAAGAGGUAAUGUCCCAAAGAGAGAAUUUAAAGAGAGGACCAGCUUGCUAGCUACCUCAUUAUUAUUAUUAUUAUUAUUAUUGAACUGGUCCUUGGGUCAUAAAUAAGCUACUACUAUAUAUUAAUAUUAUAAGCAUAGCUAUCUCAGUAUUGGGUUUAUUAUAUCGUUCAAGAAUUCACAUAUGUUAUUCAUGCAUGCCAUGAUAGAUAUGCAUUACGUGUUUGCAUGGUUAUAUGCUAGUGAUUUACAAGUUCUUUUGUGUGUGUAUUUUAGUACUAUAGUAGGUUGGUAUUCGUAAUUCGUUCAUCUCAGAUAUUAUGUGUCGAUCAGUGUUUGAUUGGCACAAUGUCAGAGAAAAAAUUUCAUUUAUUUUUCUGAAAAAAAAAAACGGUGGUUUAGAAUUACGCAUAAAUAUUUAUGCGACUAAAAUCAUCUUAUUAAGGGUAAUUUGAGAAAUCUAAAGUAAAAUUAUAUUCACAUAAGAAAAUAGGACAUUAUUUUAAUUAAAGACAACUAAUUGGGACGGAGGAUUCUAAGUUGCAUGGUAUUAUUCAGGGAAGGACGUAGGACCUAUACUAAUUUUUUGAUGCUCUGACAUCAAUUAAACUCGACGAAGAAUAGAUAUAAUUACAUAAAAAAUAUAUGAAAAUAGAUAUAAAAUAUAUAAAAGCACCCAUUGAAACACAAAAUUAUUUGUGUGCACUGACAUUUAGAUUGAUCUUAAGGUUCUCCACUGGAAGGAAUGCCUCGUGUUCGAACCUCGAUGAGGUGAUUUUUUAUUUUUUCAUCUUUUUAAUUUUUUAAGCACUCACGAUCCUUAAUUCUGGGUGUAUUAUUAUAUUCUAGAGGGUGUGGCAAAUUAAAUCAGUCCAUUUUUUGGUAACUUGUCCAACCCAUAAAAGUUUAAUGAGUUGGGUCAUGACCCCUUUAUGUAAUUGAUUUGAUCUAUGAUUUGAAUCUGUAGUGACCCCCAUCAGAUUAUUGAGCUAAAAUGUGCCAAAUAGUGUAACUGUAACCUAACGAGUCAAAAUGGAACCCAUAUUUAAACAUACAAAAGUAAAUUUAAAAAUAGGUAAAUUUUGUGCUUUUUGCCUUAUCGAUAAUGUUAAAAGUAAUAUUUACGUAAUCAGGUCAUAUAUACAAUAAUUACAUGUAAAUUUCUAUGAUAAACAUUAAUUCACAUCAAUUGGAGGUUCAUAUUCAUCUCCGCAGCUGUUCUUUUUCCUCCAGCUAGAACCUCUUUCCAAAAUUUGUUUCAAAAUUGGAGCUUGUGGCAACUUGCUUGAUUUUCUGAUGGCCAUUAUUGAAUGUUUUAUUUAAGAAAUUUAAAGAGAGUUUAAGCUUUAAUUUGCUAUUAGAGAAAGAGAAAAAAUGAUGUGAUGUUUGGGACAGAGAAUUAUGUGAAGCUAUUUAUGGAGGAAUUCCCCAAUUUUUUUAAUUCACUUGCAAAGAAAGGGAGGAGUUUUCAAGGGAUUAGAAUAUGAAAUCUUGCGCUUAUACAAUUAAUUAAAACACUUAAUUCUUGUGAUGUAUAUAAUAUAGAGUAAUUUAUUUAUCAAACAAGUUGAAAUACAAUUAAUUAAUUUUGAUUAACAGUACCGGUCCUAGUCCUAGGCAAGCUUUGGGUAGUUCGUUAAUUAAUUUCUAGUUGAAGUACUUUAAAGAAUCACUAAGCAAUAGACAUAUUUUAAUUUAUGCUAUAGUUUUUCUAUAUUUUCAAUAUACACUACAAAAGAAACAAAAUUGAAAUUCGCUAUGAAUUUUGUUGUUAAAUUGCUCGAAGCUAACAAAAUAUUUUGAUAACUUACUGUUCAAUAAGAUUAGGAACAGAUUUUUAUUGUUUGAUUAUAAAAUUUGUUCGCUAAUUCCCAUUUUUUUUUUAGCAAUGAUAAUUGUUAUGCAUUCCUUAUUAUCUAUUUUAUUUCUGAAGAAGCCAACGUGUUUUUCUAAAAGAGACAAAUAAAUAUUAUUUGGAGUUUGCACAAGACUACUUGGGGUGCUAACAACUUGAUACUUUGAUUAUAUAUAUUUUAAUUAACCGAUGUGUUGUUCUUGCUGAACGGGAAGUACAGAGGAAAUAAGAUGUUUACGAAACGACAAAAAAUGUAAAUAAAUUGGUAAACAAAUUCAAAUAAACUAUCAUCUAUAAUAUCAAUUCAUCCUUGAAAGAGUAUAACGCCAUAUAUAAUAAAUUAUCAGUCAAUUAGCUAGCACUUUUUUUUAACGUAUGUAUACUUUUUCAAAUAGAAAAAAAGAGAGAUCGUUUUGGUGUACUAAAAUUUUCAUUAGGCAUGAAUCUGGAGAAGAAUCAAACCAUAAAAAUCUAUUAUCUGUAAUUUUAUAGUAUCUUUGCAAGUUACUACUUUUUCAAAUAGAAAAAUGAGUGUAAUACUCAAACAAAGUACCCAAUUGUUUUUUUUUUUUUUGCUUCACCAAGAUACCUACUUGUUUGUACUUGGAAUAUUAGGGAGAGUUUUCUGUACGUACGGAAUCAAAAUAUUAAAUUAGUAAUUGCAGUAUAUAAUGCCAUUAGAUAAACAGAUGACACGAAGUAUUUGUCCUUGUUUUGAUUAAAAAAGUGAAAAAAUUGUCCUAAUCAAAUACAAAUCGGUAAUGAAAGUAUUUAUUAACAUAUAAUGCAUCUGUAAUGUAGGUACUCGACAAAGUUCGGCCUCACAUGUAGGUAUUAAAAGGAUUGUAUUUGUAGACUAAACUAUUACAACUUCAAUUUAUAAAAUACGAAAAUUUUGAGUUAUUUUUGUUUAUGAUAAUUUUCAAAAAGUUCAGUAAAAAGUUAACAUGGGGAAUUUUCAUAAAUAAAAAUAAUCUUUCUGUUCAUUUUUACUUUGUUCAGUAUUGACUUAGCAUGCCAUUAAAUGUAAAAAUAUGUUAUCGACCUCUCCAUCCAUCUAUUGAUGAGGAAAUUAGAAUAAACUGGUCCGUCCAACACCUCAAUAAGGUCAAAUAAAGUAGACGAUAUCUAUUUUUUUAUAUAAUGGACAAGUAAAACAUAUAAUAUCUUUAUAACAAUACUAUUUGAACGCAUGAGAUCUUUGUAAAAUUAUUUUUUUCCAUUUCAAAUUGUAGGUGAGCAUCAUUUAUUUCUUGUCUACAUUUUUAUAGAUCAAUGUAGUAUUCUUGUGUCUGCACUCUUUAUCCCCCCUUUAACAUAGCACCUCGUUAUAGCUAUGGUAAUUUGGUAUUUCGGUUUAUUUUGAUUAAAUUUUUGGAAAACAUAAAACAUAAUAUGGACAAUGUAGAGGCUAGUAGAUCACAAAUCAGACCUAUUACACUAUGCCCAAUUUGGAUUUACUUAAAAAAGAAAAAGAAAAUAGAUUGAGACAAUUUGUAUAGAAAAUGGCAAAACAAAUAGAUUGAAAGACAUUCAAUUCACUUCUCUCACAGGGUGCUUAAAAACACCUCUGCAAGGAAAAUUUUCCAAGAUUUGCUCUUACAAAUCUGAUUCCCACCCAUAAAAAACACUACUAAUAAUAUAAUGUAGUAGUUCCUAGGUCAGGGGUUAGAGGAAAAUUACAAAAAAAAAAGAAAAAAAAAGAUGAGAGAAAAAAUUAAUUAAUGGAUGUUAGAAAAAAGAGAAGCAAAAUACACCAAAUUUUGCUUCAUCUUGAGCUAAUCCAUCCUUCUUAAUUCCCACUAAAAUCUUACAACUAAUAUUCACUCUUAUAAUUUCUCUAACGAAGCAUGGAAUAUAGUGACUGGAAAACAACUUCUUCACAUGGAAUAGUAAUUCCCAUGUCAUGGUCGAACCCAAAUUCCUCCUCAGCUUGUCUAAGGAGACAUUGAAACUCUGGAUGAGUCAAAAAUGAAAUAGGUACGAUGUAUCGAGUUCGAUUUUCUCCUACGUAAACUGCAAAAUGUCCUUUGGGCACGUCAACUGGAAGGUGUUCUUCGUCAUCAUAGGUGUUUUUUUUACCCAAACUCGAACACCUUUUCAAAAUUUGCUUCAAGAUUGCAGCUUGGGACUGCUUGUUUGGUUUUCUAAUGGCCAUUUUAGUGAUUUUCUUGAAGAAAUUUAAAGAAAGUUGAGAGCUUUAGGAAGAAGAAGGAUGUGGGGUUUGAAGUAGAAGAAUGUGAAGCUAUUUAUGGAGGAAGACCACAACUUUUUAAAUAUUUUUAGUGUAGUGUUCUUUUAUUUUCUUUCACUUUUACUCUUUUGCUUCAUGAAAUUAAUUUGACUAUUCUUUUGAAAUUAUAAUUUAACUAAUUUUUGAAAUUAAAUUAGAUUGAUUCAAUAUAUUUUUAAAUAUUAAAGUUACAUUUCGAAAUAAAAAAAUAGUUAUAAGUUACCAUUCUUCUGGUAUUGAAAUUUGGACAAACUUUUUAAAAAAAAUAAUUAUGUACUUUUUCUUUUACCACUUCUAACAACUCUCAUCUUUUUUUACUUUUCUGGUAACUUGAAUUUACAACUUUAAAACUAAAAGUGAGUGGUGCUUAUCAUCUAAAUAAUUUUAUAUUAUCAAAAUGUGACAAAUACAAGUGAAUUGAGGAAGUUUUUUUUUCUUAGGGGGGAGAGGGGAGGGGGGUGUAAAAGUAGUCAGUCAUGUGGGGUGUGAAGGGUCAAAGGACAGAACACGGGUGUUUUGGGGUAAGUGAAUUGAGGGGAGUUUGGACAAGAGUGGGGGCCAAAACCCAUUGGGUAUUAGGGUUCAAUGUUGCUUCUCAUUAUGGCAAAGAGGACCCCUUCUCAUUAAUUACCCAAACGUUACGACAUAAGUACUUACUAUUCAUAUUUGAAUAAAAGUAUAAAAUAUUUGAUUUAUUCAAACAUGGCUUUCACUGAUCUAGGAAGGUUACAAGUUUCAACAACAAAGGUAUUAAUGGUACUUGUUUCUAUUUCCAACAUUCUGUCUCAAUGCUUCUGCCUAGCUCGUUUUCAUUUUCAACCCAAUACGUACCUCUUCAGUCUGUUUAUGUACACUAAUUAUAUUUCAACUACUCUUUAAUGUCUCUGUACAUGAAGACUCAAUUAUAAGAUUAAAUAACAAUAUGAUAAAAUUUAAAAUUUUGACAAACUAAAAAAAAAUAAACUUAUAAAAUAUGUCAAUUUUUCAAUAUCUAUUAUUAAACAUCAAUUAAUAAUAUGAAAAGCAAUUAACUGAUGUAUAUACGGACAAUAUGAAAAGUAAUUAACUGAUGUAUAUACAUAAUGUUAUAAAUCGGGCAGAAAUAAAGCAAAUCACAAGCAGCAAGAGAACAAGAACACACAGAUUUACGUGAAAGUUCUUGCGGGAAAAGCCACGGGAAGAGGCAGAGGAAUUUCACUGUGAAAGGAAAGGAGUACAAUGUGGAGAGACGUAAUUUCUGAAUGCACAAAACAACCCAUUAAAAUGCACUUAUAUAAUAUGUGCAUACAAAUAAGUCCUACGCACAAAAACAUAAAGGCCCAUACCGCGGGGCUUCACCCCGCACCCCAUUGGGAUCAUUAGUGGGCUUCGGGAUCGGGCCUACGCUACCACCACAGACCCCAUUAAAAAUCACAGACAUAAGUCGCACCGCGAAACUUUCAAAACCAGACCAACAAAAUUUGAUUCACAACUUUUAACACAUAAUGUAAUACCACAAGAUACAAACCGAAAAGGUUUCUAUCGACAUUGAAAUGUCUACACCCAAAUUUACUCAACUUAAUAUGAUUAGGUGAUUUAUUGAAAUAAACAUAUACAUUAUCUAAUCACGAUUAAGUGAUAUAAUUGUAUACGCAAAAGUACAUAUGGUAUAAAUAUUGGGUGCCAGUAAUAGCAGUAUCUACCAGAGCUAAUGCAUGAUAUGUUAGAGAAGAUGAAGCAAAGAAAUCACGGACGAACAAUAAAGUGGUACUGAGAAGUACGAAAUACAUUUCGAACCUUACUUUUACGAACAGUGUUUGGUUUUUUUUGAAUGUUUGGCUUCUGCUUUUCUUUGAUUCUUUUUCUAUUCAGAUAGAAAGUUGAGCAGAAAGGCAUGUGCACUCGUCUCGUAAAGUACAAAUAAUAGACUCUUUGUUGCAGCUUUGACUAUUAGCCGUUACGUACAUCGUUAUUGACAGUUUCACCAUACCCUAGAGAUUUCUUUUGAUUUUUCCAUUCUAUUAUUAUAGUUUUGUUGAAGUGGACUUUUUGUAGUGAAAGGACCAUUUGGGUAAUGGGUAAAGUUGCGAUCAUUUCAUUAUAAGAUUAUGAGUUUAAGUCGUAAAAAAUUAAAAUAGUCUUAAUAUAUUAACUUUUAUGGAGCAAUUUUUUCUUGAAUCUCUACGUAGCAGGAGCUUUAGUACAUCGAACUGCACUUUAUAUAUACUUUUCUUUUCUCUUUUUAUCUAUUUCUCGAGAAUCUUUCUGUUCCUAGUUAAUCGAGAUUUUUCGUGUUAAUCUAUAUAUAUUUUAACCAACUCCAACUACCAAGGUAACUGAUUCUUUUGAAUUUGUGUGUAAAACCAACGUUGUUUGGAAAUUAUAUUUAAUUCAGCUUAUGUGAAGUGAAAUUUGCAUUAGUCUAAUAGAGACUUGAACUACUACAAAAUAAUUGUAAUGUUACUGCCCGACUGAAUUACUCUUUUGGUAGCUCCGUAGUUUGUUUUGUUAGAAGAAAUAUACAUGUUGCUCAUGUCCAAAAGACAACUCAGUGAUCAAGAGGUCAGUCCGGUACACUAAAAUUUUCAUUAUGCAUGAUAUUUGGAGAAGGAUCAUAUCAUAAUGGUCUGUUGUAUGCAUCCUGACCUUACGUAUUUGCUUGAGGCUAUUUUCACGACAUCAAUUUUAUUAGUUACUCCACCACUCCCCUUCAAUCAAUUAGGAGUUUCUUCUUAGAGGCCUCUCAUUUAGACGUAAACAGACGAGCAUAAAUGGACAAGCAUUUUAGCGGUGCAAGUUCCAACUUUUCACAUUAUGAAUUGAACUUUCUACAUUGCCUGAUUAACUGUAUAUUAUAUACAUAUCGGUUGUAUAUGUUUAAUUAAAUAUCAGUAUGUAUAUAUUAUAUAAAGUAUGUGUGUUUCUUGAUUUGUGUAUGUCAAUCCUUGCGUAGGAUAUAUUAGUGUAUAUAUUUUUAGGAUAAAGUAUACACUACUUAUACAUUUCGUACAUAUUAUGUAAACAAGAUGGUAAUUUUUCCUAUAUUAUUCUAUCCAUUAGUCACACGUCUCCUAAUUGGUGGAGUAUUCGCAUUGUUGAUGACAUAAAAAGUUCUUAUAAAAGGGCAAGCAUUUUUGAUGUGUAAGUUGAUGUGAAUAGAGGUUAUAUAUGUUAUUGUUAAACUUGAUUUAGAUUGGGAUUAUUUCUUUCAUCAAAGUGGUCCAAGACAGACAAUAUUGAGCCCCAUAUAAAUCCAAAACUCCAAUAUGAUCGCCACAGAAUUAAUUAAAAUUCUCUGAGAUUUGAAGUUUGGGGUGCACCAAUAUUGUCAAAGACGCGCAUAAGUUCUGAAUAAAAACUCAAAUUUGGGUUGAUCGCUCGCCUCAUUUAAUGUGCAGUUUAGGUUCUAAUUUAUAAUAUAUACUUUCCCUUGUCAAUGAGACUUUUCGGGAGAUACGAACACUAAACAAUUGAUAUUUCACUUAAUUAAAAAAAAUCAAUUUCUUUAUUCAUAUAUUUGUCAUUCAUGCUUAUAUUAUUAGUCUUGAACUAGACAUGUGUUUAUAUUUUUUCUCCUUUAUGCUUUUUUUGUUAAAUCUCACGCUUUAUUUGUACUUUGUGCUUAAAUAUAAUGGACCUAGAAGCUUUUUUUACCCUUUUCUGCUUUAGCUAAGGCGAUGAGAAUUGUCUUUAAAACUAAAAUUUGGUUGAGGAGAAUAAUAUCUAUCUAUUUCAAUUCACAAGAAUCAAUAACAAAUUUCUACAAAAUAAAAAAUUCAUCAAGAAUAUAAGUAAUAAUAAUUAUUUAUUUAUUUUUAAUCAAAUCCCAUGAACUUAAAUAGAAGCAAGAAAAAAGAAAUAAAUCUAUUUUACACACUAACUUUCAAGCAACAAGUAAAUAUUAGAAGCAAUUAACAUUACCCAAACUUGAAUAAAAAAUAAAAAAUAAAUGAAAGGCAGAAAUGUGUACCUAUUAGCAUCAAAUGGAAAAUUGCUCCUUUCUCUUUGUUUGGGUACUAUUAAUUUGUAAAUUAUAGUGUCGUCCAGGGAGUUUAGAAUUGGGGGAUUUGGGGAAAUACGAGUUGGAAAUUGAAAUUUGGGGGAAAAUAUGGAGCUUGGGAUUGGAAAAAGUCCCUUUUUAGUACAUAGUAAAUAGAUUAAUUAAGGAUGGAUGGGAUCAGAUGAGGUGACUGUCUAGCUGGUGUAGUGUCUAGGGAGUUUAGAAUUGGGGAAUUUGGAAAAAUACGGCUUGGGAUUGGGGAAAGCCCUUUUUUAGUAAAUAGUAAAUAUAUUAAUUAAGAAUGGAUGGGGUCAGAUGAGGUGACUGCCUAGCUGGUGGCAUUUAAAUGUAUAUAAAGAAGUAGAAUGAAUCGAACACGCACGUCAGGCCAAAAGGCCGUCAGCAUUUGAGUUCCAAACCAGUGCACCCACAUAAGUUUUAUUAUUAAGGGUGCACAGUUAAAUAUAUUAACAUUUUAGUAGAACAUAUAUACAUAUAUAUAUUAUUUUUUAAAAAAGUUACCGGAUGCACGUGAACCCUCGAAACACCACAUGGGUCCGCCCCUAGCAAGAAGGGACACUAACAUCUCUUUGCAUGUUCUAAGGCUGAGAUAGUGAUCCACGUACCCAUCUUCACUAAUUGACAUGAGCAAUUUUUUUCAUCACACCCCACCCACCGCAAUAACAAAAAAAAAAAACAAAAAAAACAGAGCAAUUUUAUUGUCAAACAAGAAAAAGCAGUUAAAAGAAUAUAAUGGCCUUUAACUGUUUUCACUUUACCCAUGUUCUCUUAUACUCUCUCGUCCCAAUUUUUAUAUGAUAUAGAUUGGAUUUGAAUUUAGUUAAACUUCUUUAUUUUGAUCGUGCAUUCAAAUUUUUUAAAAGUAAUUUAUAUAGUCCGAAAUUAUAUUAAGGGUACUAGAAUAAUUUUUUUUUUGUAAGCUUAUCUGAUGAGGAGCAACUCUCUUCCUUCUUCUUUCCUUUUAUUUUGAUAAUUUAGAGCAUAUGCCUCUCACUCCUUGUGUUGUAAUGUGGAUGUUAGGUUUUAGAACCUUUGAUUUUUUUAAAAAUAGAACUAGUAUAAGUUACAAAAAGUAAUAAUUUAAAAUAUUUAAAGAGCAUAUAAAUUGCUGGGAUUAAAGAUUUUCUUAUUUUUCUCGCGAAAUUUGAACUAUCUCAUAUAAAUUAAUAAGAUCGUAGAAGUACUAAAUUGUGCGUGGAGUUUUCACCGGAUGAAAAGAAGGAAAUGCACAUGCAAGAAAGAGAGUAGGAGGUGCAUGAAGUAAGUAAAUAAUGAGUGUGCAUGAAUGAAGAAAACUAAAAAAUACACUGCAGCACAUUGUAUGACAGUAUUACUAUUUGAGUUGUUAAACAACUUCUACUUUGAGAACAAUAUUUUGACAUGGUGUGAAAAUAGAUCCUUGCGGAAUUUGAACCUUCUCCGAAUCCGCACAUAGCAGGAGUUUUAGUGCACAAGUC